GCCCGUCUAGCUCAGUCGGUAGAGCGCCAGACUCUUAAUCUGGUGGUCGUGGGUUCGACCCCCACGGUGGGUG
rfam:Perkinsela sp. CCAP 1560/4 XT18scaffold_41, whole genome shotgun sequence.